rnacentral:lncRNA from 1 species
AUCACAGCGGCUUUCCCGCCUCUCCUUCACUGCAGCCUUCCCCCCUCCAAUCUCUGCAGCCUUCUCUCCUUCCCUCUCCUUGCUGCAUCCUUCCAGCCUCCCCGCGCUGCAACCUUCCCUCCCUCUGCUCUGAUUGGCUGUGCCCGUCCCGAGGCUGUUUGCACCGCGGUUCCUCACAGCACCCGCACCUCGAACCGGGCUGUUUAUCCACAGUAAAACCGCUGAGCUCUGCGAGAUCGGGAUUUGCAACGUUGUUGUAGCGAGAAGAUGUUACCAAAAACGCCACAGGAAGAAAAAAAUCUUACUAAUUUUGCGUUUAUCUCGGACCCCCCGUGCUGCAGAGGGGCGCGAGCAGCACGUGUUGCGUUCCGUCCUGUUGCGUUCCUCAGCUGCGAGGAGACCCGCGGCGCUCUGCAGACAGCGACCGCGCCUCGCUGCCGCUGCUCACAGUUUGAAUAAAAGCCUCCAAAAGAUGAAGACUUGAAAACGGAUUUAUGUUGGCUGUGGAAAGCAACGGAAAUAAGAAUUAGCAGGCAAACUGAGAAAUUAUUGGUGAAAAUUGUGGGUGUCUGAAAGUAGUUAAUGAAGUAUGAAGUUGUUUCAAGUUCUCUAGAAUAGCCCCAACUCUGUGCUUGUUAACUACAUCAGACUCAUAGCAGGAAACAGAAAAGAAAAACAAGAUAAGUUUGUGGAACAGCUGUAUUAUGACUUUGGUGUUCUUUAGAUGGAAUUUUAUACUCCUUGGAGAGGAAAUCAUGCUGAAGGUCUGUACUGGACUUCAGAUUUCUAUAACAGUGCUGAAUGCUCAUAACUGAAUUUCAAUUUCCAAAUAGCAAAUGGAUAUGAAUAGAGCAAAUUCUAUUUUGUUAGAAGUCUUUAAUUACAGAAAUCUUACUGAGAUGUGUCUGAAUAAUUCAGGGUAAAUCCUGUAGGAGCACAGAGUUGAAAAGACACAGAAAGGAAUCAAAAAGCAUAUUUACUUCAGUGAAUCUGGAUUUCUUCCAGCAAAGAUGUGUACCAUGAUAUAGUGUUCUCUAUAAAAUAGUCUCUAUUUUAUUCCCAGAGCAUGAAAACAAACUGGAGGACAAAGUUUUCUGAAUUUAAUUUAACAUAGUGAAAUGUAGUACUGUAUUACCCCUAUAGCUAAGUUGAAAUCUCAUAGGACAAUGUUUGUAACCGAUUUCAUUCUCUGAAAUAUGAUAUUAAAAACAAUAUGUUGAAGUUUGUAGAUAAAGGGUCUUGCAACAUACCUAUGCCAGCCGCUUUCUGUGCAUCUAUUUUGAUCUAAGAUAAACACAGUUAAAUUGAGUCCUUACUUCCUUUGGGGUCUCAGCAUAGCAGCACCUAAUAAUAGAGUCCUGUGUUUCAUCAACAUUUUGGAUGUGAGGUUGCAAAACUUACAUACAGAGAGCAUCAAGUCAAUAGCUAGGAGAAAGUCAGCAGAGCUUAUUACCUACAG